UACGAAGGGGGCUAGCGUUGUUCGGAAGUACUGGGCGUAAAGCGCGCGCAGGCGGCUAUCCAAGUCAGUGGCGAAAGCCCGGAGCUCAACUCCGGAACUGCCAUUGAAACUGUUUAGCUUGAGGACGAGAGAGGUGAGUGGAAUUCCCAGUGUAGAGGUGAAAUUCGUAGAUAUUGGGAAGAACACCGGUGGCGAAGGCGGCUCACUGGCUCGUAUCUGACGCUCAGGCGCGACAGCGUGGGGAUCAAACAGG
rnacentral:rRNA from 1 species